rnacentral:sRNA from 1 species
GGCAACCAGGUUUGGAUGGCGUCAGAAGGAAUGCCUGAAGAAGUGAUAUGCCAUGUUGCUGCCCAGUUUCACGCUGGAAGAGACCCUGUGCAAAGAUCCAGCGGCCUGCUUUGGGUUCCAGUAAACACAAAAGCUGCAUUUGAUGCCAGAAGGCAAACACAACCUGCAUUUGCGUUUUGCAGAUGAAUUCAACAAGUUAGCAGAAGACUUCCUACAAUGAGAAUGCACACUCGAGUCUUGGUGGUUCCUUCGUGUGGGGCUUGAUCGUGUUGCUGCCUGUUAACAUGAUGCCUUUGAAACUCUCCGCCUUUGAAACUUUCUACCCCUCCCUUCAAUCUUAUCCUAACCAAAUGAGAAUAAUGACAUAUUGAAAACAGCCUCUAGCUUCAGGCUGGGCACGGUGGCUCACAGCUAUAAUCUCAGCACUUUGGGAGGCUGAGGUGGGAGAAUUGCCUGAGCCCAGGAGUUCAAGACCAGCUUAUGCAAUAUAGGGAGACUCUGGCUCUACAAAAAAAAGUUUUUCAAAAUUAGCCAGGCGAAGUGGCACACAUCUGUGGUCCCAGCUGCUCAGGAAGCUGAGGUGGGAGGAUCAGUUGAGCCCAAUUCAAGGCUGCAGUGAGCUGUAAUUGCAUCACUGCACUCCAACCUGGGCAACAGAGUAAGACCUUGUCUUAAAAAAAAAUAAAAACAU